UAGUGAGUCAAGUCCUUUCCUGGUGAUUCUAUCCCUUACCCUUCAGAGACCAGCACUUCACAUGGUUCCGUCACUGAACAUUUUCUCAAGUUCUGGCCAUCAACUAACAGUAGCAUAGUCCUGAUGGGGAGGAAGGUAGUGCCUCCAUCAAAAGGUUGAGACUGACCAAGGUUGUGGCUUAGAGCCAAGAGCCACUAACCAGAACUCGGUUUUCCUGCUGAUGAUCAGUGUCUCAAGGGUCCACUGAUUUGACUACAUCUUCCAUGUCACAGAUUGUCCUUCUGAAGGACCAGAAGAAAUGCUUCAGCAUCGACAACCCUGGCUACGAGCCUGAAGUUGUUGCUGUGCACCCUGGUGGGGACACAGUAGCUGUUGGUGGCUCGG
rnacentral:lncRNA from 1 species